GGAGGAGGGCAGGCAGGCAGGAGUCACGAAUCUGGUCAUAUUGAGCCCUCUCCCAUUCGGUGUUCGAACUUUUACCACCGCCACAUCGUUGUUGUACUGCCCGUCUGCAAUGCCGCAAAACAUUCAUAAAUAGGUCCGCUUGAGAGUGAGGCCAGAGAGGGUGAUGCCAGCACACCACCCUCAGCUAAGCCCUGCGGCGGAACUAACGCCGCCUCCCUCCCUUCGUUCAAACAUCCGGAAGUUUUCUGCGUUGUUCGGAGGUCUUUAUGAGAAAGAUUGUUAACAAAGAACCUUCUGGUCAAGCACAUUCUGGAUGAAGAGAUGUGUGUUGGUAAUCUCCUGGGAAUGGCGGGUGGUGAGUUCUGUUAGCUGCUCCUGGUGCAGCCGUGGCAA